GGGCCGUUGGCGUAGUUGGUAGCGCGUCUCCAUGGCAUGGAGAAGGUCACCGGUUCAAAUCCGGUACGGUCCACCA
rnacentral:tRNA from 1 species